CGGUAAAAGCUCAAAUUUGAAAUCUGGCCUUUCGGGGUCCGAGUUGUAAUUUGUAGAGGAUGUUUCGGGCAAGGCUGCGGCUUAAAUUUCUUGGAACAGAAUGUCAUAGAGGGUGAGAAUCCCGUCUAGAGCCGUGCGCCGCGUCCGUGUGAAGCUCCUUCGAC
rnacentral:rRNA from 1 species